GACGAACGCUGGCGGCGUGCUUAACACAUGCAAGUCGAACGGAAAGGCCCUGCUUUUGUGGGGUGCUCGAGUGGCGAACGGGUGAGUAACACGUGAGUAACCUGCCCUUGACUUUGGGAUAACUUCAGGAAACUGGGGCUAAUACCGGAUAGGAGCUCCUGCUGCAUGGUGGGGGUUGGAAAGUUUCGGCGGUUGGGGAUGGACUCGCGGCUUAUCAGCUUGUUGGUGGGGUAGUGGCUUACCAAGGCUUUGACGGGUAGCCGGCCUGAGAGGGUGACCGGCCACAUUGGGACUGAGAUACGGCCCAGACUCCUACGGGAGGCAGCAGUGGGGAAUAUUGAACAAUGGGCGGAAGCCUGAUGCAGCAACGCCGCGUGCGGGAUGACGGCCUUCGGGUUGUAAACCGCUUUCGCCUGUGACGAAGCGUGAGUGACGGUAAUGGGUAAAGAAGCACCGGCUAAAUAAGUG
rnacentral:rRNA from 1 species